GACGAACGCUGGCGGCGUGCCUAAUACAUGCAAGUAGAACGCUGAAGAGAGGAGCUUGCUCUUCUUGGAUGAGUUGCGAACGGGUGAGUAACGCGUAGGUAACCUGCCUUGUAGCGGGGGAUAACUAUUGGAAACGAUAGCUAAUACCGCAUAACAAUGGAUGACACAUGUCAUUUAUUUGAAGGGGGCAAUUGCUCCACUACAAGAUGGACCUGCGUUGUAUUAGCUAGUAGGUGAGGUAACGGCUCACCUAGGCGACGAUACAUAGCCGACCUGAGAGGGUGAUCGGCCACACUGGGACUGAGACACGGCCCAGACUCCUACGGGAGGCAGCAGUAGGGAAUCUUCGGCAAUGGGGGCAACCCUGACCGAGCAACGCCGCGUGAGUGAAGAAGGUUUUCGGAUCGUAAAGCUCUGUUGUAAGUCAAGAACGAGUGUGAGAGUGGAAAGUUCACACUGUGACGGUAGCUUACCAGAAAGGGACGGCUAACUACGUGCCAGCAGCCGCGGUAAUACGUAGGUCCCGAGCGUUGUCCGGAUUUAUUGGGCGUAAAGCGAGCGCAGGCGGUUUGAUAAGUCUGAAGUUAAAGGCUGUGGCUCAACCAUAGUUCGCUUUGGAAACUGUCAAACUUGAGUGCAGAAGGGGAGAGUGGAAUUCCAUGUGUAGCGGUGAAAUGCGUAGAUAUAUGGAGGAACACCGGUGGCGAAAGCGGCUCUCUGGUCUGUAACUGACGCUGAGGCUCGAAAGCGUGGGGAGCGAACAGG
rnacentral:rRNA from 1 species